GAAAUCAUCGGCUAACUUUCAAGCUACAUACAGGAAACACAACACUUCCGGCUUCCGAUGCCAGACAUUUCAAAAUAAAGGUUUUGAUAAAGCUUCUGAUGAACUUGCUCCUGGAGUGUCAGUGGGGACCUCAACAGCCUGAAGAAACAGCAGGGUUAGAAGAUCAGUCAGCUCUCUGUCUUUGUUACCUCUGGAGAAGAGCCAAGGAAAGCAUCCCAGAGCCACCACAAAACACCUCCUCCACCUUCUUCCACUCUCUGCUCCUCAUUCCCUGUUCUCUCUCUGGCU